rfam:Morus notabilis contig5918, whole genome shotgun sequence.
GGGAGCACAGUACGAUGAAAGUUGUAAGCUGUGUUUGGGGGGGAGUUAUUGUCUAUCGUUGGCCUAUAUGGUAGAAGCAGUCGGGGGCCUGAAAGGCAGUGGUUUACCCUGU